GAUCACACCAUGGCCUGGCUCCCUCUCCUCCUCGCGGUGCUCGCCCACGGCACAGGUUCCCUGGUCCAGGCAGCACUGACUCAGCCACCCUCCGUGUCAGCCAACCUGGGACAAACCGUCCAGAUCACCUGCUCCGGGGGUAGUGAUAGCUAUGGCUGGUACCAGCAGAAGGUCCCUGGCACUGCCCCUGUCACCGUGAUCUAUGCUAAUGACAAGAGACCCUCGGGCAUCCCUUCACGAUUCUCUGGAUCCAAGUCUGGCUCCACGGGCACAUUAACCAUCACUGGCGUCCAAGCCGAGGACGAGGCCGUCUAUUACUGUGGUAGCUGGGACAGCAGCUAUGCUGCUGCCACCUGCCACGGGAAACAGCAUUGGGGAAGUGAUACUAAAUACUCCCGCCAACACAGGGGCCACUCAGAAGUCUCUGCUGUCCUGUUUGAUGUUGGGCAGGUCCCCGCCAUGGCCCUGCCCUGUGCUGCACGUGGCUGUGCCUGGUGUCCCAGCUCAGCUGUCCCAGAGAGCCCCACAUCUUUGACUGUCCCCUGUCAUUUGGGGAGGGCAUGUGUGGCAGUGUUGUGGUUUAACCCCAGCUGAUAAUUAAGUACCGCACAGCUGCUUGCUCACUCUGCCCUCCCCAGGGAGAUGGGGAGGAGAA